AAAGCGAGUGCAGGCGGUUCAAUAAGUCUGAUGUGAAAGCCUUCGGCUCAACCGGAGAAUUGCAUCAGAAACUGUUGAACUUGAGUGCAGAAGAGGAGAGUGGAACUCCAUGUGUAGCGGUGGAAUGCGUAGAUAUAUGGAAGAACACCAGUGGCGAAGGCGGCUCUCUGGUCUGCAACUGACGCUGAGGCUCGAAAGCAUGGGUAGCGAACAGGAUUAGAUACCCUGGUAGUCCAUGCCGUAAACGAUGAGUGCUAAGUGUUGGGAGGUUUCCGCCUCUCA
rnacentral:rRNA from 1 species